AAGGAAAAAAAAAAAAGUGAAGAGGAAACUUGGUCCCUCCCUUCCCUUCCUGCUGAGGGGGAGCAUCCAGCUGUCACCUUCCCUCUGUGGAGGCCCAGAGACUCUCACGGCCUGCCCACUGCCACACAGCACCACUUGGCAUAUGGUGGGGAGACUUGCCUUGGCCUCCACUCAUCCCUGCAAUGGCUGCUCCUGGCGUGGCCCUCUAGGUCCAGGAAAGACGGAGGACUUGGGCAGAACACACAGCUUGGGCCUUCAUUCCCAUCCUCCUUGGCACUCCGCCAACCCAGCAAACAUGGAGAGUCCUCUUUGCUUCCCUUCAGGUCCCAGCAGCUGCGGCGGCACCAGACGCUUCUUCCAUAUUGCUACAGCCUAAGCAGGCAGGGCCUCAUCCUUUACUGACCAGGAUGGCGGUACUCCACAGGCCUCUCGGCGACACGGCCCUCCACCCCUGUGUCCAGGUGACCUGGCUUUGCCCACCUCCCUGGUUUCCUCACUGGCUGGAGUUUGUGUUUCUGGGUCAGAAGGUCCAGGGCAGUGACAGAACAGUACGGAGGAGAGCGACAGAGGCUGCUCUGGAAGCCAAGGAGGCAGGGACGGCGGGGUGCCGAAUGGGCAGUAUUUGCCACUUCUCCCCGAGGGCUUGGGCCGUGAGUGAGGGACCCCGGCUGACAGGUACCAGGGCACCAGGCAAAGACCCUCAUCUGAGACCUUCCUAGGGGUGCCUGAGGACAGAGCCACAGAGGGGCCUUUUCAGCCCUUCCCGGUGUCACCACCUGACUGCUGACAUUGUCAUUGGCCCACAGGUCUGGCUGGGGUCAGCUGAAGCCAGAGUGGAGGCUCCAAAGCUUCCCUCUACUGACCAUGUCCGCGGCCUGUGCAGCCACUGCCCUUGCUUGUGACCUUGGGAGCUAACAGGUGACCAGAGAGGGAGGGAAUCCAGAAGGCUAUGAGAGGUGAGUGAAGGCCUCUGGAAGAUGAGAAGUAGACAAGGCCUGAGUGACAGGUGGCAGGGCAGGAGACAGCAUGGCAGAGGUCGAGAGAAACCAGCUUGAAGUCACAGGACUGUGUUCCUCCCAUCCUGGCCCUGGGAACCUAGGGACCCUGGACAAGGGACAGGUAUUGGUUGGCUUCAGAGGAUGAGCUGGACCCUCGGAGGGACACCUUGUCCCAUUG
rnacentral:lncRNA from 1 species